AGGAAGACUGCCCUGCUGGAGAGGCAAAAGUUGAAGUCUUCAGUGAACGCUCUGCUAGGGGAGCUGCCCCACAAUAAUGUCCAAAACAGCAAACUUGCUGGGGAUGCCCCACGGUAGGGCUCAAGCAGCACUCUACUGGGGAUGCCCCACCAUAGAGCUAACAGGGAUUUGGAGGAAGAAUCUGUACUGCCGGGAACAUGAAGAUGAACAACUUCAAACAACACUGCAUUGGGCAACUUCACUGAGGAGACACCAUACGAG
rnacentral:lncRNA from 1 species